AGGGAGAAUUGAAAUGUGGUUUCAAUUCACAAUCGAUCGUUAAGAGUAACAAUCGCCCACUACCUCACUAAAUGGAACCUAAUGGAUCGUACACCGAGUAAGGAUGUUGGUGAAGAAAUUAAAUGAAAUGGAUAAGCAAUUAAAUGGUUUAAUUGAAGAAUGGUCAAGGUUAAUUAAUUAGUUAAUUAAUUAUACAAAAUGUUCGUAUUGGGCUUAUAUGUUGGUUUUGGGUUUCGGGGCCCAAAAGCGUUUUGGUCCACAAG
rnacentral:lncRNA from 1 species